rnacentral:rRNA from 1 species
GGACUACCCGGGUAUCUAAUCCUGUUUGCUCCCCUAGCUUUCGCAGAUCAGCGUCAGUGAUGGUCCAGAAGACUGCUUUCGCCAUAGGUAUUCCUCCCGAUAUCUACGCAUUUCACCGCUACACCGGGAAUUCCAUCUUCCUCUACCACACUCUAGCCUGACAGUUUCCGUUGGCCUCUCCCAGUUAAGCCGGGAGCUUUCACAACAGACUUAUCAAACCGCCUACCUGCGCUUUACGCCUAGUGAUUCCGAGUAACGCUUGCCACCUACGUAUUACCGCGGCUGCUGGCAC